UGGGCUUCGCAUUCAGGUCUGAGGCAUAUCAGGGUUCAUCUCUGAGCAAGUCACUAAUGUUCCCAAGUCAGGGCCUUGAAGGCAUAAAGUUUUUAAACAUGCACGUGAAGCAUUUAGCAUAGUGCCUGGCAACUCAGCAAUUGCAACGUUUUAAGAAAAAGUGGACGGCAUCCUGAAAUAGAAAAAGGACAUUUACAUCAGAAAGAAGGAAAGUAGAAAAGUGUGAAUUUUAGUUAAUAACAAAGUAUCAACAAUGGUCCCUUAGUUAAGUCAAAUGUAUCAUCCUAAUGUAAGAGCUUAACAGCUUGGAAAUGGUGUGGAUUACACAGGAACUGACUGUAGCAUCUUGGCAACUUCUCUGCAAAUCUCCAUGGACUUUUGAAGUGUAAUGCAUCCUCUCCGGGUUGGCCCUGAGUUCCAUGCCAUCUCUGUUUCUCUUACCCCUGUGCUCUGGCCCAGCAGGGACUUGGUACAUCUCAGCUUUACAUCUCCAUCACCUAAAAGAGUUCUGGGCACACAGAAGGCCCUGUUGGUUGAAGAGAUAUGUGUUUACAACUAAUUUCUCAGCCAGAAACAACGCCAGUCCUGUAGUUUAUACACAUCAGCCUCCCCAUCUCACAGCCAGCCAGGAGGGAGACCUUGGAGCUGGGAGGUCGGCUGGCCAGGCUCUGGAGGCAGGGAGAGGAAGGGAGGCAGGGAGAGGAAGGGAGGCAGAGAGAGGAAGGGAGGCAGAGAGAGGAAGGGAGGCAGAGAGGCCUUCU
rnacentral:lncRNA from 10 species